rnacentral:misc_RNA from 1 species
UAUCCUCUCAGUGGAAGGAGGG